rnacentral:rRNA from 1 species
GGUUAAGCGACUAAGCGUACACGGUGGAUGCCCUGGCAGUCAGAGGCGAUGAAGGACGUGCUAAUCUGCGAUAAGCGUCGGUAAGGUGAUAUGAACCGUUAUAACCGGCGAUUUCCGAAUGGGGAAACCCAGUGUGAUUCGUCACACUAUCAUUAACUGAAUCCAUAGGUUAAUGAGGCGAACCGGGGGAACUGAAACAUCUAAGUACCCCGAGGAAAAGAAAUCAACCGAGAUUCCCCCAGUAGCGGCGAGCGAACGGGGAGCAGCCCAGAGCCUGAAUCAGUGUGUGUGUUAGUGGAAGCGUCUGGAAAGGCGCGCGAUACAGGGUGACAGCCCCGUACACAAAAAUGCACAUGCUGUGAGCUCGAUGAGUAGGGCGGGACACGUGGUAUCCUGUCUGAAUAUGGGGGGACCAUCCUCCAAGGCUAAAUACUCCUGACUGACCGAUAGUGAACCAGUACCGUGAGGGAAAGGCGAAAAGAACCCCGGCGAGGGGAGUGAAAAAGAACCUGAAACCGUGUACGUACAAGCAGUGGGAGCACGCUUAGGCGUGUGACUGCGUACCUUUUGUAUAAUGGGUCAGCGACUUAUAUUCUGUAGCAAGGUUAACCGAAUAGGGGAGCCGAAGGGAAACCGAGUCUUAACUGGGCGUUAAGUUGCAGGGUAUAGACCCGAAACCCGGUGAUCUAGCCAUGGGCAGGUUGAAGGUUGGGUAACACUAACUGGAGGACCGAACCGACUAAUGUUGAAAAAUUAGCGGAUGACUUGUGGCUGGGGGUGAAAGGCCAAUCAAACCGGGAGAUAGCUGGUUCUCCCCGAAAGCUAUUUAGGUAGCGCCUCGUGAAUUCAUCUCCGGGGGUAGAGCACUGUUUCGGCAAGGGGGUCAUCCCGACUUACCAACCCGAUGCAAACUGCGAAUACCGGAGAAUGUUAUCACGGGAGACACACGGCGGGUGCUAACGUCCGUCGUGAAGAGGGAAACAACCCAGACCGCCAGCUAAGGUCCCAAAGUCAUGGUUAAGUGGGAAACGAUGUGGGAAGGCCCAGACAGCCAGGAUGUUGGCUUAGAAGCAGCCAUCAUUUAAAGAAAGCGUAAUAGCUCACUGGUCGAGUCGGCCUGCGCGGAAGAUGUAACGGGGCUAAACCAUGCACCGAAGCUGCGGCAGCGACGCUUAUGCGUUGUUGGGUAGGGGAGCGUUCUGUAAGCCUGUGAAGGUGUACUGUGAGGUAUGCUGGAGGUAUCAGAAGUGCGAAUGCUGACAUAAGUAACGAUAAAGCGGGUGAAAAGCCCGCUCGCCGGAAGACCAAGGGUUCCUGUCCAACGUUAAUCGGGGCAGGGUGAGUCGACCCCUAAGGCGAGGCCGAAAGGCGUAGUCGAUGGGAAACAGGUUAAUAUUCCUGUACUUGGUGUUACUGCGAAGGGGGGACGGAGAAGGCUAUGUUGGCCGGGCGACGGUUGUCCCGGUUUAAGCGUGUAGGCUGGUUUUCCAGGCAAAUCCGGAAAAUCAAGGCUGAGGCGUGAUGACGAGGCACUACGGUGCUGAAGCAACAAAUGCCCUGCUUCCAGGAAAAGCCUCUAAGCAUCAGGUAACAUCAAAUCGUACCCCAAACCGACACAGGUGGUCAGGUAGAGAAUACCAAGGCGCUUGAGAGAACUCGGGUGAAGGAACUAGGCAAAAUGGUGCCGUAACUUCGGGAGAAGGCACGCUGAUAUGUAGGUGAAGCGACUUGCUCGUGGAGCUGAAAUCAGUCGAAGAUACCAGCUGGCUGCAACUGUUUAUUAAAAACACAGCACUGUGCAAACACGAAAGUGGACGUAUACGGUGUGACGCCUGCCCGGUGCCGGAAGGUUAAUUGAUGGGGUCAGCGCAAGCGAAGCUCUUGAUCGAAGCCCCGGUAAACGGCGGCCGUAACUAUAACGGUCCUAAGGUAGCGAAAUUCCUUGUCGGGUAAGUUCCGACCUGCACGAAUGGCGUAAUGAUGGCCAGGCUGUCUCCACCCGAGACUCAGUGAAAUUGAACUCGCUGUGAAGAUGCAGUGUACCCGCGGCAAGACGGAAAGACCCCGUGAACCUUUACUAUAGCUUGACACUGAACAUUGAGCCUUGAUGUGUAGGAUAGGUGGGAGGCUUUGAAGUGUGGACGCCAGUCUGCAUGGAGCCGACCUUGAAAUACCACCCUUUAAUGUUUGAUGUUCUAACGUUGACCCGUGAUCCGGGUUGCGGACAGUGUCUGGUGGGUAGUUUGACUGGGGCGGUCUCCUCCUAAAGAGUAACGGAGGAGCACGAAGGUUGGCUAAUCCUGGUCGGACAUCAGGAGGUUAGUGCAAUGGCAUAAGCCAGCUUGACUGCGAGCGUGACGGCGCGAGCAGGUGCGAAAGCAGGUCAUAGUGAUCCGGUGGUUCUGAAUGGAAGGGCCAUCGCUCAACGGAUAAAAGGUACUCCGGGGAUAACAGGCUGAUACCGCUCAAGAGUUCAUAUCGACGGCGGUGUUUGGCACCUCGAUGUCGGCUCAUCACAUCCUGGGGCUGAAGUAGGUCCCAAGGGUAUGGCUGUUCGCCAUUUAAAGUGGUACGCGAGCUGGGUUUAGAACGUCGUGAGACAGUUCGGUCCCUAUCUGCCGUGGGCGCUGGAGAACUGAGGGGGGCUGCUCCUAGUACGAGAGGACCGGAGUGGACGCAUCACUGGUGUUCGGGUUGUCAUGCCAAUGGCACUGCCCGGUAGCUAAAUGCGGAAGAGAUAAGUGCUGAAAGCAUCUAAGCACGAAACUUGCCCCGAGAUGAGUUCUCCCUGACUCCUUGAGAGUCCUGAAGGAACGUUGAAGACGACGACGUUGAUAGGCCGGGUGUGUAAGCGCAGCGAUGCGUUGAGCUAACCGGUACUAAUGAACCGUGAGGCUUAACCUU